GAAAUGCGAUAAGUAAUGUGAAUUGCAGAAUUCCGUGAAUCAUCGAAUCUUUGAACGCACAUUGCGCCCUCUGGCAUUCCGGGGGGCAUGCCUGUCCGAGCGUCAUUACGCACCCUCAAGCCCGGCUUGUGUGAUGGGCCCCGGCGUCUCGUUCGCGAGACGGGCCCGAAAGGCAGCGGCGGCGUCGACCCGAUGAGCCCGAGCGUAUGGGGACUUCUGUCACACGUUCGCGGUGCGGACCGGCGCCUGCUUGACUUUUCUGAUUAUCCAGGUUGACCUCGGAUCAGGUAGGGAUUCCCGCUGAACUUAAGC
rnacentral:misc_RNA from 1 species